UUCACGCCCUAUUUCGGUACUUGUUUUCAGCUGAUCGCGGGGCAGUAACGUCGAACACCCGGCUCCCCUCACCCCUUCAAAAAUUUAAAAAAACAAAAAAAAAAUGUCCACAUCUGCCAUGAAAUGGUAUCAGGCUCCACUGGAAAGGUUCAUGGACAAAGUGGCCAUUAUCAGUGUGUCGACCUACAGGGAUCGCUACCUGGAGGAGCUGGAGAGAAAUACAUGCUUGAUGGGGAGAAGGACUGAGCAGGAUGAACAGAGCAAGGGUGUGCCUCAAAAAUCAAACAAAAAAAGAAGUCAACACUGAAAUCCAAUCCAUCCGACCAUGUUGUGUAACGAUGAAAGCAAAUCAACAAAAUGAUUAAGCAAUCUGUUUCUUCUUCAUGUGCCUUGUGUGUCCCA